GGGCUGGUUUGUCGUUUGUCUGCUAGUGAUGUGUGGGACUCUCCUCACUUCACUUCCCUUCGUCCCUCUUCAAGGGUUUCUCUUGUGAUCUCUGCCCAUCUCCCAACAACCUUUCCCUCUCUCAGUACAGCUGCUGAUUUCAAAAUGCUGAGCCCUCUUCUGUAGGAGCCUGUCCCCCUAUCAUAGCUGAUGGAUGGGGUUGGAUGCCUGACCCAAAUUAGCCAAUCAGAGUUUCUCUCCUGAGAAUGUAAAGAGGGACAGAGAUAGGUGGGGACCAAAAGUUAUGGGAGCUGAGCCCUGUGUGGUAGGCAGAAUUUUACAUAGGGCACGUGUAAUAUGAUGAGAAGCUGAGCUUCUCACUCCCACAAUUGCUGUGUUACUUGGCAGGGUUGACCUUAAGAUAAAAGACUCUCAGGUGAGCCUGAUCUAGUCAUCUGGUUCUUUCAAAGCAGCAGGAGUCAGAUUUGAAGCACGAGGGACUUUGCUGGCUUGAAGAUGGAGGGGGUCAUAGGGGAAGAAAGUGCUGUGGCUUCUAGGAGCUGACGGAGUUUCCCAGCUGAGAGCCAUUGAGGAAGUGGACACCUCAAUCUUAUAAUCACAAGGACGUGAUUCAGCCAACAACCUGAAGGAGCUUAGAAGUGGACUUUCCCCUCAAGCUUCCAGAGAAGACCCCAGCAUGGCUGACACCUUGGCUUUGGUCUUGAGCAGAGGACAAAGUUGAGCUGUGCCAGACUUCUGACCUACAGAACUGUCCCUGCUGCUGCUGCUACUGCUGCUAAGUCGCUUCAGUCGUGUCCGACUCUGCAACCCCAUAGACAGCAGCCCACCAGGCUCCCCCGUCCCUGGGAUUCUCCAAGCAAGAACACUGGAAUCCCAUUUAGUGAAUCCUGCUUGCUCUACCUUCAGGAUAUAUCCAGCUGCUGCCCCUGCCAUCCUGUCCAGGCCAUUGCCACCUCUUGUCUGAAUCAUCACAGAGCCUCUAACACGUCUCCCUUCAUCCUUUUGCCCCUGACACGGUGGAGAAGAGACCAAACAGCUGCCAGAGAUCCUCAGCAUGGCGCCCUGGGGCACCGAGGACGCGUGUGCUGCUGUGAAAGCAGAAGCCAGAAUUCUCAUGAUGACUUCAGGGCCCCCUGUGACUCGGCCCCUACGUCCUUCUCUUCAUGCCCUCGCACACUUCUCACCUCUCAUUCUAUUCCAGCCACAGGGGUCUGGCUUCCGUUCCCUGAACUCUCAUGCCCUGAGGCCUUUGCACUCGCUGUCCCUUCUGCCCACACUGCUCUUCUCUAGGGUAUCUGACAGCUCACUCCCUCACCUCUUUCAGGGCUUUCAAAUGCCACCUUCCUCAUGGAGCCUUCCUGGUCAUUCUAUUCAUAAUUUCUCCCCUAAUGGAAACCCUUCACCCCACUAUGUCCCUGAUUUCAUUUUCUCUUUAGAACUUAUGAUGAUCUGACAUACAUAUUUAUAUUAUAUAUUUUAUAUACUUAUUGUGUUGAUUGUCUUUUUCCUGCACAAGAAUAUGAAGUCUAUGAAGAAAUAGUUUUUUUAAAAGUUCUAUCCAGGGCUUCCCUGGUGGUUCAGUGGUUAAGAAUCUGCCUGCCAAUGCAGAGGACACAGGUUUGAUGCCUGGUCUGGGAGGAUCCCACAUGCCACUAAGCCCAUGUGCCACAACUACUGAAGCUGGCACACACUAGAGC
ensembl:lncRNA